GGGGGCGUAAGGAUUCGACGGGGGUUGUGGAAGCAGGAAUUGCAGGCCCGGGACCAUGGCCCGGUAAAAACAUGGAACGGCUAUAAACGCCAACGACAAUCUCGCUUACGCUGCUUAAUUAA
rnacentral:tmRNA from 1 species